CCUACGGGUGGCAGCAGUAGGGAAUUUUCGUCAAUGGGCGCAAGCCUGAACGAGCAAUGCCGCGUGAACGAGGAAGGUCUUCGGAUCGUAAAGUUCUGUUGAAGGGGAAACAGCGCGGAGAGAGGAAAUGGUCUCCGAUUGAUAUUACCCUUCGAGGAAGUCACGGCUAACUACGUCCCAGCACCCGCGGGAAUACGUAGGUGGCGAGCGUUAUCCGGAUUGGUUGGGCGUAAAGGGUGCGUAGGCGGCCUGCUAAGUCUGGGGUGAAAGGUACCGGCUCAACCGGUACAGGCUCUGGAAACUGGCGGGCUAGAGAGCAGGAGAGGGCGGUGGAACUCGAUGUGUAGCGGGAAAAUGCGUAGAUAUAGGGAAGAACACCAGGGGCGAAGGCGGCCGCCUGGCCUGUUACUGACGCUGAGGCACGAAAGCGUGGGGAGCAAAUAGGAUUAGAUACCCUUGUAGUC
rnacentral:rRNA from 1 species